CCCUUAGAUGUUCUGGGCCGCACGCGUGCUACAAUGAGUGGAUCAGCGGGUCAGGUUGCGCGAAAGCGUUUCCUAAUCUUUAAAUCCGCUCGUGAUGGGGAUUGACGGUUGCAAUUUUCUGUCAUGAACGAGGAAUACCUUGUAAGCGCGGGUCAUCAUCCCGCGCUGAAUACGUCCCUGCCCUUUGUACACACCGCCCGUCGCUCCUACCGAUUGAGUGGUCCGGUGAGGCUUUGGGAUCUGAGCGGAAAGAGCGUUUCGCUGUUUCUGCUCGGAAAACUCAGUCGAACCUUAUCAUUUAGAGGAAGGAGAAGUCGUAACA
rnacentral:rRNA from 1 species